UUCGAUUAAGCCAUGCGAGUCGCGAGUCUUAGGGACUCGGCGUACCGCUCAGUAACACGUGGGUAACCUGCCCUAUGCUGGGGAAUAACCUCGGGAAACUGAGAAUAAUGCCCCAUAGUUCACCACGCCUGGAACGGUGGGUGGAUUAAAGCUCCGGCGGCAUAGGAUGGGCCUGCGGCGUAUCAGGUCGUAGGGGGUGUAAUGUACCCUCUAGCCAUCGACGCGUACGGGUGUUGGGAGACAUUGCCCGGAGAUGGAUUCUGAGACACGAAUCCAGACCCUACGGGGUGCAGCAGGCGCGAAAACUUGGCAAUGCGAGAAAUCGUGACCAGGGAACUCCAAGUGCAUCGGGUAAGACCGAUGCUUUUCUUGACUCUUCAACGGUCUUGGAAUAAGGGCUGGGUAAGGACGGUGCCAGCCGCCGCGGUAAUACCGGCGCCUCAAGUGGUAGUCGCUUUUAUUGGGCCUAAAACGUCCGUAGCCGGUUUGGUACAUUCGUGGGUAAAUCAAGGCGCUCAACGUCUUGAAUUCUGCGAGCACGGCCAGACUUGGGACCGGGUGAGGUGUGGGGUACUCUCAGGGUAGGGGUAAAAUCCUGUCAUCCUGAGAGGACCACCUGUUGCGAAGGCGCCACACUAGAACGGAUCCGACGGUCAGGGACGAAGCCUAGGGGCACGAACCGGAUUAGAUACCCGGGUAGUCCUAGGUGUAAACGCUGUGGACUUGAUGUUGGGGGUGCUCCGAGCACCCUCAGUGUCGAAGCGAAGGUGAUAAGUCCACUGCCUGGGGAGUACGGUCGCAAGGCUGAAACUUAAAGGAAUUGGCGGGGGAGCACUGCAACCUGAGGAUUGUGCG
rnacentral:rRNA from 1 species